UACGUAGGGGGCAAGCGUUGUCCGGAUUUAUUGGGCGUAAAGAGCGUGUAGGCGGCCAAACAGGUCAGCUGUGAAAACUCGAGGCUCAACCUCGAGACGUCGGUUGAAACCGUUUGGCUAGAGUCCGGAAGAGGAGAGUGGAAUUCCCGGUGUAGCGGUGAAAUGCGCAGAUAUCGGGAAGAACACCGGUGGCGAAGGCAGUGGGCUGGGCCGGCACUGACGCUGAGGAGCGAAAGCGUGGGGAGCGAACAGG
rnacentral:rRNA from 1 species